AGCUUUUUGAAUCCGUGCAGAGAUUUCGUCCGACACCAACACAUUGGGGCUGAUAAGACUUUAAAAAUAAGUGAAGUU
rnacentral:pre_miRNA from 1 species